GACUUAGAGAGGCUAAGGUCAUACACGUUAUAAAGGGCAGAACCGGAAUUUCAACGUUAACUUCAUCUAACUCCAAAACCCUGUGCUCUUACUCAGUGCCAUGUCCACUAAUAAAACUUAGCAGAAGUGGACCACUUAACAGAGUAUGUUAGUCUCUUCAAGCUGCCACCUCAAAACACCACAGGCUGGGCAGCUUAAACAAUAAAUUUAUUUCUCACAGUUCUGGAGGCCAGGAGUCCAAGAUAAAGGCACCAGCAGGGCCAGUUUCUGGUGAGGCCUCUUGCCCAGCCUGCACGCAGCACCUUCUCACUGUGCCCUUUGUGUGGCCAUUUGUGCACACAGAGGGAAAGGGACAGAGAAAGCUCUGUUGUCUCUUCCUCUUAGAAUGACACUAGUCUUUACGGUAGAAAAGAAAGUUCACAGUUAACAUUUAUAAGAUUAUUUAAUGUACUUACAAAAUUGUAAUAAAAACUCUUACUUUAUUAGAGCAUUAGUUUGGAUGAAUUCAAGUCAUUUUGCCAUUUUACAACCCACUUGGAAGACUUUGCUAUUGCCAUGCAGAUGUUCAGUUUAGCUCAUCGUCCUGUCAGACUAGCCGAGUUUAAGAGAGCUGUGAAAGUAGCAACAGGACAAGAACUCUCAAACAAUAUUUUGGACACUGUCUUCAAGAUCUUUGAUUUGGAUGGCGAUGAAUGUCUUAGUCAUGAAGAGUUUCUUGGGGUGUUAAAAAACAGAAUGCAUCGAGGUUUAUGGGUACCACAACAUCAGAGUAUACAAGAAUACUGGAAGUGUGUGAAGAAAGAAAGCAUUAAAGGAGUAAAAGAAGUCUGGAAACAAGCUGGAAAAGGUCUUUUUUAAUAAAAGAUAUAAUAGUAUGGCAAUUAUAUUGUUCCAAAUGUCAACAUUCGUGAUUUUUUAGAAGUACUAGCUAUUUAUCUUCCUAAGUCUUCAUUGAUAUUCUCUGUGAUAUAAGCAUGUCUUGUACUUGCUUUCUGAUUCAUAA
rnacentral:sRNA from 1 species